UGGCUGGGGGUGAAAGGCCAAUCAAACCGGGAGAUAGCUGGUUCUCCCCGAAAGCUAUUUAGGUAGCGCCUCGUGAACUCAUCUUCGGGGGUAGAGCACUGUUUCGGCUAGGGGGUCAUCCCGACUUACCAACCCGAUGCAAACUACGAAUACCGAAGAAUGUUAUCACGGGAGACACACGGCGGGUGCUAACGUCCGUCGUGAAGAGGGAAACAACCCAGACCGCCAGCUAAGGUCCCAAAGUCAUGGUUAAGUGGGAAACGAUGUGGGAAGGCACAGACAGCCAGGAUGUUGGCUUAGAAGCAGCCAUCAUUUAAAGAAAGCGUAAUAGCUCACUGGUCGAGUCGGCCUGCGCGGAAGAUGUAACGGGGCUAAACCAUGCACCGAAGCUGCGGCAGCGACACUAUGUGUUGUUGGGUAGGGGAGCGUUCUGUAAGCCUGCGAAGGUGUCCUGUGAGGGUUGCUGGAGGUAUCAGAAGUGCGAAUGCUGACAUAAGUAACGAUAAAGCGGGUGAAAAGCCCGCUCGCCGGAAGACCAAGGGUUCCUGUCCAACGUUAAUCGGGGCAGGGUGAGUCGACCCCUAAGGCGAGGCCGAAAGGCGUAGUCGAUGGGAAACAGGUUAAUAUUCCUGUACUUGGUGUUACUGCGAAGGGGGGACGGAGAAGGCUAUGUUAGCCGGGCGACGGUUGUCCCGGUUUAAGCAUGUAGGCUGGUUGUCCAGGCAAAUCCGGAUAAUCAAGGCUGAGGUGUGAUGACGAGGCACUACGGUGCUGAAGUAACAAAUGCCCUGCUUCCAGGAAAAGCCUCUAAGCAUCAGGUAACAUUAAAUCGUACCCCAAACCGACACAGGUGGUCAGGUAGAGAAUACCAAGGCGCUUGAGAGAACUCGGGUGAAGGAACUA
rnacentral:rRNA from 1 species